rnacentral:rRNA from 1 species
UACGGGGGGGGCAAGCGUUGUUCGGAAUUACUGGGCGUAAAGGGCUCGUAGGCGGCCAACUAAGUCAGACGUGAAAUCCCUCGGCUUAACCGGGGAACUGCGUCUGAUACUGGAUGGCUUGAGUUUGGGAGAGGGAUGCGGAAUUCCAGGUGUAGCGGUGAAAUGCGUAGAUAUCUGGAGGAACACCGGUGGCGAAGGCGGCAUUCUGGACUGUAACUGACACUGAGGAACGAAAGCCAGGGGAGCAAACGGG